GCCUCAUUAAGAGUGGAGCUGCAGCCAUGCAUGACCUGUGCUUGCCUGCUAGAGUGGGACCCAUGCUACAUUUUGGUCAGUGGAAAAAUCAGUUAUUAAUCAGCAAAGAACUAUUGAUUUUCCAACUGCUCUUUCCAUAGAAUAGGAAGUCAGCUGUUGCAGCUGGAAAGCACUGAACUGUGAAGUGCCACCGGGAGCACCUCUGGCCCAAAGGAGCGUGUCGAUCCAUGUUGGGAGCUAUGGGGUGUUCUGGGGUCACUGCUCAAAUAGACCAGCUCCCAGUUUGCAGGAAACAUGGAAGUAUGCUUUGUGUUUGUAGUUAACAAAUUAGGGCAAAUUCACUGUUGAACUGGAAAGCAGAAUGGGAGAUGUGGCAUACUCUUCCACAUAAAACCAUAUGUUUGGUGGAUGUUGGUAGUUUUCCAGUCAAUUCAUAGUGGCCCUGAGAAAUACAUCAUUUUCCUUUCAUAGAAUUCACUCAGCAAAACAAGCUUCUCUCUUUUUUUCUUUUUUUUCUUUUUUUUUUUAAUGCAGCAGAAAUAUUCAUAAGGUGUUCUGUGAGAUAUAGUCUUCUGAUUGCUUUUCUUCUAUGUAUAGAUCAAUUGUGAUGGUUCACUCAGGCAAACAUGUGCUGAUCUGGACCAUACAGAUUUGCCUAUUUAUUUUAGUUAGGUCUGUAAUGGAGAUUUUUAUCACCAGCUACUGGGAUUUGGGAUUCUUUUUAUGAAACCUGACCAGAAACAUAACAUUCUGAGACCUGAAAUUCUCCUUUUGUAGUCUUUUUCCUAAAUUCCCUGAGUAAUAUACUCAAGAACAUCAUUGAAAUAUGUCCACAAUGCAGAGUUAUGCUGACAUUUACCCAGGAGAGUGUCAGCAUCAGCAGUCUAUAGUGCUGCAUAAUAGGAAUAGGGCAAUGUUCUUUCAUACUUUUUGGUAUGAAAAUUAUAAUUUCAUGAUCUAGAAGAUGUCCUGCUUUGGAUCAGAGUUUUAGCUGUCCAGCAGUCAGCAGAGAGUGAGGCUCACAUCUAUUUUAGGUACCUUGACAAUAUGCACACAGUCCCUGUUACUCUGCAUUUCACUGCAUUUCUCCAACAGAUCAAAUUGUGGUUGUUUCUUCAGUCAUGGUCCAGCAGCACAAUGACAGUAGCAAAGAUGUGAGCUCUCACAGCUGUCAUUAAGAAUCACAAGUUCAUUUACUCACUACUGAAACUUAUCUGAAAUAAUCCAAUACUGUGCAACCGCUCCAGGAAACUGGAAAGAGAAAAAAUGUAUCUUUGAAACCUGAGCUAUGAAAGAAUUACCCUGGAGCUUGACACAAAGAGCAUGUGCACAUCUCUGUUCUACUGAUCAUCAUCAUCAGGAGAGCACUGGAAGAGUUUACUCAUCUAAGGUAGAGGAGUCCUUGUCCUUCCUGCAGGUCUUGCUCAGUGAAGCAAACCAAGUUGUCCUAGUCCUCUCAACUAAACACAGUGGCUGGAACUGCAUGAGACCCCAAGGACAGAGUGUGUUUUGCUGGAGUCACUACAACCUUCCACUUGUCUUCGUCAUGGCUGCAAGGUGUGGAGACAUCCGUGAUACACAUGUGCUUGUGUGUCUGUACAAGUGUACAUGUUUGUGUAAGUAUUCAUGUGCAUCCACAAACAUCCACACAUUGCUUCAUGUGUUUGUUGCCAGCUGAGGAACUCUCAGAUUGCAGUGCACAUUUUUAUUACUAUUGCUGAUGGGCAUGUCCUUGUGUGUUAUGGAACUCCUUUGUGAUUCCUCCUGUCCUCAUGACUCCCUCUCCUUGUGUGACAGCCUCUUCCAUACUGAGGACAGUGUACUUGGCAAGUUUUGCUAUCACUUUUCAUACUAUUAAUAUUGCUAAAACUAAACCAGAUCCAGUUUGUGAAAAACUUUGCUCAUCAUCUUCAUUCAGCCCAUCACGUUGACAUUCUCCCUUCAAGCAUCCUUACACUACAUGGCUUUUACUUGUUCUGCUCAAAAUAAAAUUACCUCAUGUGUGGCUGUAUAGCAGAUGUUUCACAGAUGUUUAGAUAAAUGAAAUUUUGGUCUUAGCAUUGCAUAGUAAUAAUAGUUAAAAAUAUCAAUUAUAGUUUCUAAGAAAUAUGCUAGGCUCAUCUGACACAUAUGUUGCAUUGCUCUUCCAUCCA